GCCUAGUUGGCUUGGUUGGUAGCGCGUCUGCCUUAUAAGCGCUAAGGCGCGGGUUUGAUUCCCGCCUGGGGCG
rnacentral:tRNA from 1 species